rnacentral:lncRNA from 1 species
GGCCAGGGUGGGCGGAGGGAAGCUGUGGGGAGAUCGCAGCACCCAGCGCCAAGCGCAGCGCAGCACCGCGACAGACGGCAGGAGCACCCAUCGACGGGCGCAGCUGGAGAGAGCCCAGCAUAGAGAGGCGGGCUCAAAACCGAGAACCCUGCCGGGCGGCAUCCCCCGGCCGCCGCACGCACAGGCCGGCGCCCUCCUCGCCUCCCUGCUCCCCACCGCGCCCCUCCGGCCAGCAUGAGGCUCCUGGCGGCCGCGCUGCUCCUGCUGCUCCUGGCGCUGUGCGCCUCGCGCGUGGACGGGUCCAAGUGUAAGUGUUCCCGGAAGGGGCCCAAGAUCCGCUACAGCGACGUGAAGAAGCUGGAAAUGAAGCCAAAGUACCCACACUGCGAGGAGAAGAUGGUUAU